rnacentral:rRNA from 1 species
GGAUUACCGGUGGCGGAUGGGCAUGCGGCGCAUUAGCUAGUCGGCGGGGUAACGGCCCACCGAGGCGACGAUGCGUAGGGGUUCUGAGAGGAAGGUCCCCCACACUGGUACUGAGACACGGACCAGACUCCUACGGGAGGCAGCAGUGAGGAAUAUUGGUCAAUGGGCGCGAGCCUGAACCAGCCAAGUCGCGUGAGGGAUGACGGUCCUACGGAUUGUAAACCUCUUUUGCCGGGGAGCAAGCGUGCGUUCGUGAACGCGCGUCGAGAGUACCCGGAGAAAAAGCAUCGGCUAACUCCGUGCCAGCAGCCGCGGUAAUACGGAGGAUGCGAGCGUUAUCCGGAUUUAUUGGGUUUAAAGGGUGCGUAGGCGGGAUGCCAAGUCAGCGGUAAAAAUGCGGUGCUCAACGCCGUCGAGCCGUUGAAACUGGCGUUCUUGAGUGGGCGAGAAGUAUGCGGAAUGCGUGGUGUAGCGGUGAAAUGCAUAGAUAUCACGCAGAACUCCGAUUGCGAAGGCAGCAUACCGGCGCCCUACUGACGCUGAGGCACGAAAGCGUGGGUAUCGAACAGGAUUAGAUACCCUGGUAGUCCACGCAGUAAACGAUGAAUGCUAACUGUCCGGCUCGAAUGAGCGCUGG